AUUGAACGCUGGCGGCAUGCUUUACACAUGCAAGUCGAACGGUAACAGGCCGCAAGGUGCUGACGAGUGGCGAACGGGUGAGUAAUGUAUCGGAACGUGCCCAGUCGUGGGGGGAUAACGCAGCGGAAGCUGUGCUAAUACCGCAUACGAUCUAUGGAUGAAAGCGGGGGACCGUAAGGCCUCGCGCGAUUGGAGCGGCCGAUAUCAGAUUAGGUAGUUGGUGGGGUAAAGGCUCACCAAGCCAACGAUCUGUAGCUGGUCUGAGAGGACGACCAGCCACACUGGGACUGAGACACGGCCCAGACUCCUACGGGAGGCAGCAGUGGGGAAUUUUGGACAAUGGGCGCAAGCCUGAUCCAGCAAUGCCGCGUGCAGGACGAAGGCCUUCGGUUGUAAGACACUUUAUCUAGGAACGAAAGACGUUGGAUUAAUAACUCUGACGUGUCGUGACGGUACCUGAGGUAAUAAGACGAACCGGACGUAACUUACCGUUGCCACGGC
rnacentral:rRNA from 1 species